AGCAUCACAAGUAUUAGAGGCAA
rnacentral:piRNA from 1 species